AGCGCAGACGGUUGAUUAAGUCUGAUGUGAAAGCCCGGAGCUCAACUCCGGAAUGGCAUUGGAAACUGGUUAACUUGAGUGCAGUAGAGGUAAGUGGAACUCCAUGUGUAGCGGUGGAAUGCGUAGAUAUAUGGAAGAACACCAGUGGCGAAGGCGGCUUACUGGACUGUAACUGACGUUGAGGCUCGAAAGUGUGGUAGCAAACG
rnacentral:rRNA from 1 species